rnacentral:rRNA from 1 species
GAUGAACGCUGGCGGCGUGCCUAAUACAUGCAAGUCGAGCGAACAGACGAGGAGCUUGCUCCUCUGACGUUAGCGGCGGACGGGUGAGUAACACGUGGAUAACCUACCUAUAAGACUGGGAUAACUUCGGGAAACCGGAGCUAAUACCGGAUAAUAUAUUGAACCGCAUGGUUCAAUAGUGAAAGACGGUUUUGCUGUCACUUAUAGAUGGAUCCGCGCCGCAUUAGCUAGUUGGUAAGGUAACGGCUUACCAAGGCAACGAUGCGUAGCCGACCUGAGAGGGUGAUCGGCCACACUGGAACUGAGACACGGUCCAGACUCCUACGGGAGGCAGCAGUAGGGAAUCUUCCGCAAUGGGCGAAAGCUUGACGGAGCAACGCCGCGUGAGUGAUGAAGGUCUUCGGAUCGUAAAACUCUGUUAUUAGGGAAGAACAAAUGUGUAAGUAACUAUGCACGUCUUGACGGUACCUAAUCAGAAAGCUACGGCUAACUACGUG